rnacentral:rRNA from 1 species
AUGAACGCUAGCGGCAGGCUUUAACACCAUGCAAGUCGAGGGGUAGAAGCAGCUUGCUGCUUUGAGACCGGCGCACGGGUGCGUAACGCGUAUGCAAUCUACCUUUUACAGAGGGAUAGCCCAGAGAAAUUUGGAUUUAAUACCUCAUAGUAUGUGAGAAUCGCAUGGUUUUUCACAUUAAAGUUCCAACGGUAAAAGAUGAGCAUGCGUCCCAUUAGCUAGAUGGUAAGGUAACGGCUUACCAUGGCGACGAUGGGUAGGGGUCCUGAGAGGGAGAUCCCCCACACUGGUAUUGAGACACGGACCAGACUCCUACGGGAGGCAGCAGUGAGGAAUAUUGGACAAUGGGCGCAAGCCUGAUCCAGCCAUGCCGCGUGCAGGAUGACGGUCCUAUGGAUUGUAAACUGCUUUGUACAGGAAGAAACACUCCCUCGUGAGGGAGCUUGACGGUACUGUAGGAAUAAGGAUCGGCUAACUCCGUG